UAUACGUGCUUCAACACCUAGCUGUAUACCUAUCAAGAAAUUUUCUGAAGAGGCUCACCCUGUAGGGAUCUGCUAAGCGUGAAAUUUAGAAAGUGGCUUGAUUUUAAGAAACAAGUACCCCUGACAUCCCCUGUUGAGAUAAAUCAGUUAAAACCAAGCACUUUAUGGGGAUUUACAUGUACAGGUGACCUGUUUCUAUGUGUGGGAGAACACUGAUUGCCUGAGCAGAACGUCCUUCGGCCUGAGUUGCGUGACAGCGGAGAGUCUAUUUCUGUCAGUUAGCAAACAGAUUGACAAAGCGCCCUACAGAAGCAAAACAUUGGGGUUAAGGUAAGAAGAAAAAGCAAGAAAAAUUAACAUCCGAUUCUUUUACAUUGAGCACUGAGAUGAAGAACCAACGACUUUAGCGAAAGACAUUACCCAUUUGAGACGCUUGUUAAUUGCCACAAAAUUACCUUCUGACAUCCAAGAUUAUAUGUGAAUGAAUGAAUGAAUAUCUGAUAUGUCCUGGAAUUUACCAAUGAACUAGAGGAUGAAAACAAAGAAAAAAAGAUUGAUACGUGACUACUUUCUACAAUUCACGUUAAGUUUCAACAUACAAACUCGGC